CUGUUUGUUAGCAUCUGAAAUCUUGGCAUUUGGAAAGCAGGUGAUUUGGGCGCUGCGUACCCAUCCCCCAUGUCCCGUGAGUUUCCGUAGUGUAGUGGUUAUCACGUUCGCCUAACACGCGAAAGGUCCCCGGUUCGAAACCGGGCGGAAACAGCUUGAUGUCCCCUCCUGUUCGACUCAGACGCUCAAUGGUGGCGCACUUAAACCCGCCUUAAUACUGAGUUCAAGGAGCUGAUAGAAAUUUUGUUAUCAGAGGCCCUCCCAUAACAUACUUAUAACAUUCCCAAAUACCAUUUUAGCAGGCCCGGCUUAAAGGCAAGGAAUCCAUCACCUGUCCUUCUCUGUGUACACCAUCAAAUAGGGCUUGGAGGUAGAGAAAGGUGACAUGAAGGGGUAACAUGACUCCCAGUCAGAAUUUCUCAUCCCUUUUUUUCUUUUCUUUCUUGUUUUUUCCUCCGGCAGAUUGAGGUCCUCUUUGCAUGCAAUCUCAUUCAUUUGACCUCCUCCUUUGUAGGAUGGAAGGCUGACAGUUUGUCAGCUGACCUGGGCUGGAGAGCGGGAUGAUCUCCUAGCCCCCGGUCUUUGUGGGCUUAAAAUCAGCUGCUGGAGCAAAGGAAUAAUCUCCCCGUCGGGGAAUCGAACCCCGGUCUUCCGCGUGACAGGCGGAGAUACUGUCCACUAUACUAACGAGGACUCACUUUCAGCGCGUGGAGCGCGGACAUCGCUGAGUUCCCCGCUUGGAAUGAACAGCCGCAACCAUGGCAGGGCGCACGGAAAUGAUGUCGAAGAGAGAGCUACAGUCGCAGCUGCAGCUUGCGGACUCCGUCCUAUGGACAGAUAGCACGGCUGUUCUUAAGAACAUCAACAAUGAAACAACUAGGUUCCGCACAUUCGUUGCCAACAGAGUGUCAGAAAUAAUGACAGUGUCAAUCGUGGCAACAGAUGACAGACAAGAUGCAAUGGAGCAACUUAUAGAGCACUACUUCCCAUGGACACCCCGUUUCAUUGCAAGAAGAAGUCAAGUUAUGGAACUGCGUUCAGAACCCACGACAAUCGAAAAACUGUUUGUUAGCAUCUGAAAUCUUGGCAUUUGGAAAGCAGGUGAUUUGGGCGCUGCGUACCCAUCCCGCAUGUCCCGUGAGUUUCCGUAGUGUAGUGGUUAUCACGUUCGCCUCACACGCGAAAGGUCCCCGGUUCGAAACCGGGCGGAAACAGCUUGAUGUCCCCUCCUGUUCGACUCAGACGCUCAAUGGUGGCUCACUUAAACCCGCCUUAAUACUGAGUUCAAGGAGCUGAUAGAAAUUUUGUUAUCAGAGGCCCUCCCAUAACAUACUAAUAACAUUCCCAAAUACCAUUUUAGCAGGCCCGGCUUAAAGGCAAGGAAUCCAUCACCUGUCCUUCUCUGUGUACACCAUCAAAUAGGGCUUGGAGGUAGAGAAAGGUGACAUGAAGGGGUAACAUGACUCCCAGUCAGAAUUUCUCAUCCCUUUUUUUCUUUUCUUUCUUGUUUUUUCCUCCGGCAGAUUGAGGUCCUCUUUGCAUGCAAUCUCAUUCAUUUGACCUCCUCCUUUGUAGGAUGGAAGGCUGACAGUUUGUCAGCUGACCUGGGCUGGAGAGCGGGAUGAUCUCCUAGCCCCCGGUCUUUGUGGGCUUAAAAUCAGCUGCUGGAGCAAAGGAAUACUCUCCCCGUCGGGGAAUCGAACCCCGGUCUUCCACGUGACAGGCGGAGAUACUGUCCACUAUACUAACGAGAACUCACGUGUUGCCACUUUCAGCGCGUGGAGCGCGGACAUCGCUGAGUUCCCCGCUUGGAAUGAACAGCCGCAACCAUGGCAGGGCGCACGGAAAUGAUGUCGAAGAGAGAUCUACAGUCGCAGCUGCAGCUUGCGGACUCCGUCCUAUGGACAGAUAGCACGGCUGUUCUUAAGAACAUCAACAAUGAAACAACUAGGUUCCGCACAUUCGUUGCCAACAGAGUGUCAGAAAUAAUGACAGUGUCAAUCGUGGCAACAGAUGACAGACAAGAUGCAAUGGAGCAACUUAUAGAGCACUACUUCCCAUGGACACUCCGUUUCAUUGCAAGAAGAAGUCAAGUUAUGGAACUGCGUUCAGAACCCACGACAAUCGAAAAACUGUUUGUUAGCAUCUGAAAUCUUGGCAUUCGGAAAGCAGGUGAUUUGGGCGCUGCGUACCCAUCCCGCAUGUCCCGUGAGUUUCCGUAGUGUAGUGGUUAUCACGUUCGCCUAACACGCGAAAGGUCCCCGGUUCGAAACCGGGCGGAAACAGCUUGAUGUCCCAUCCUGUUCGACUCAGACGCUCAAUGGUGGCGCACUUAAACCCGCCUUAAUACUGAGUUCAAGGAGCUGAUAGAAAUUUUGUUAUCAGAGGCCCUCCCAUAACAUACUUAUAACAUUCCCAAAUACCAUUUUAGCAGGCCCGGCUUAAAGGCAAGGAAUCCAUCACCUGUCCUUCUCUGUGUACACCAUCAAAUAGGGCUUGGAGGUAGAGAAAGGUGACAUGAAGGGGUAACAUGACUCCCAGUCAGAAUUUCUCAUCCCUUUUUUUCUUUUCUUUCUUGUUUUUUCCUCCGGCAGAUUGAGGUCCUCUUUGCAUGCAAUCUCAUUCAUUUGACCUCCUCCUUUGUAGGAUGGAAGGCUGACAGUUUGUCAGCUGACCUGGGCUGGAGAGCGGGAUGAUCUCCUAGCCCCCGGUCUUUGUGGGCUUAAAAUCAGCUGCUGGAGCAAAGGAAUAAUCUCCCCGUCGGGGAAUCGAACCCCGGUCUUCCGCGUGACAGGCGGAGAUACUGUCCACUAUACUAACGAGGACUCACUUUCAGCGCGUGGAGCGCGGACAUCGCUGAGUUCCCCGCUUGGAAUGAACAGCCGCAACCAUGGCAGGGCGCACGGAAAUGAUGUCGAAGAGAGAGCUACAGUCGCAGCUGCAGCUUGCGGACUCCGUCCUAUGGACAGAUAGCACGGCUGUUCUUAAGAACAUCAACAAUGAAACAACUAGGUUCCGCACAUUCGUUGCCAACAGAGUGUCAGAAAUAAUGACAGUGUCAAUCGUGGCAACAGAUGACAGACAAGAUGCAAUGGAGCAACUUAUAGAGCACUACUUCCCAUGGACACCCCGUUUCAUUGCAAGAAGAAGUCAAGUUAUGGAACUGCGUUCAGAACCCACGACAAUCGAAAAACUGUUUGUUAGCAUCUGAAAUCUUGGCAUUUGGAAAGCAGGUGAUUUGGGCGCUGCGUACCCAUCCCGCAUGUCCCGUGAGUUUCCGUAGUGUAGUGGUUAUCACAUUCGCCUCACACGCGAAAGGUCCCCGGUUCGAAACCGGGCGGAAACAGCUUGAUGUCCCCUCCUGUUCGACUCAGACGCUCAAUGGUGGCUCACUUAAACCCGCCUUAAUACUGAGUUCAAGGAGCUGAUAGAAAUUUUGUUAUCAGAGGCCCUCCCAUAACAUACUAAUAACAUUCCCAAAUACCAUUUUA
rnacentral:lncRNA from 1 species